UUAGGAAUAUUGGACAAUGGGCGCAAGCCUGAUCCAGCCAUGCCGCGUGAGUGAUGAAGGCCUUCGGGUUGUAAAGCUCUUUAGCCGAUGAUUAUAAUGACUGUAGUCGGAAAAUAAGCCCCGGCUAACUUCGUGCCAGCAGCCGCGGUAAUACGAAGGGGGCGAGCGUUAUUCGGAAUCACUGGGCGUAAAGCGUGCGUAGGCUGUCUAGCAAGUUGGAAGUGAAAGCCCAGGGCUCAACCCUGGAAUUGCUUUCAAAACUGCAAGACUAGAGUCCGGGAGAGGAUAGCGGAAUUUCCAGUGUAGUAGUGAAAUACGUAGAUAUUGGAAGGAACACCAGUGGCGCAAGCGGCUAUCUGGACCGGUACUGACGCUGAGGCACGAAAGCGUGGGGAUCAAACAG
rnacentral:rRNA from 1 species